GAUGAACGCUGGCGGCGUGCCUAAUACAUGCAAGUCGAGCGAACAGACGAGGAGCUUGCUCCUCUGACGUUAGCGGCGGACGGGUGAGUAACACGUGGAUAACCUACCUAUAAGACUGGGAUAACUUCGGGAAACCGGAGCUAAUACCGGAUAAUAUAUUGAACCGCAUGGUUCAAUAGUGAAAGACGGUUUUGCUGUCACUUAUAGAUGGAUCCGCGCCGCAUUAGCUAGUUGGUAAGGUAGCGGCUUACCAAGGCGACGAUGCGUAGCCGACCUGAGAGGGGGAACGGGCACACUGGAACUGAGACAAGGUCCAGACUCCUAAGGGAGGCAGCCGUUGGGAAUUUUUCGCAAUGGGCCAAAGCCUGAACGAGGCAAGGCGCGUGGGUGAAGAAGGUCUUCCGAUUGUAAAACCCUUUUAAUUGGGAAGAAACAAAGUGGAAAGAAACUUUGCAGUUUUGAAGGUAACCAAAGAAGAAGCCCCGGCUAACUUCGUG
rnacentral:rRNA from 1 species